rnacentral:rRNA from 1 species
AUGUCGAUCGUCGCUCCGUGUUCGCAAAGUCAGACGUGGUGCCGGAAUGGGUCCCUGACUUCACCGCCACGUGGGCGCUCGAUCGCUCUGUCACCACCUUGGAGACGGCCGCCCGGCACCGCCGUCGCCUUCACGGCAAGCUCGCCAAGAUCGGCGAGGAGUGGUCGCUUAACGACGGCUCCGCCAAUGCCGGUCACGACAUGGCCACCGCCAAGGCUCAGAAGGCUUUGUCAGCAGAGACCGCGGUGGCACUCCAUGCAGUGCAGCAGGAGGCAGAGAGGCUCCUCUGCAAGCGGCAUACAACAGCUGGAUAAGGCUGUCGUGGCCCUCGGCGUCGUACGGUCGCUGGAGGGCCCACGACGGCGAUGA